CAUGUCUAAAGUGACCCAAAAACCUGGCUGCUUUGGAAAGUGGAUAGUAUUGGCAAGCAAAGAAAUAUGGCAAGUAAAAGUCUUUUUUAGAUCCAGUUGAUGUCAGUGUUUUCUUCAAAAAAAGGGCAAAUCACAGCCUUGAGGGGUCCUGAGGAGGAGUUAGGGGACUGAUUAAGGCAGAGAGUAAUUGUUC
rnacentral:lncRNA from 1 species